rnacentral:rRNA from 1 species
UACGUAGGCAGCAAGCGUUGUUCGGAAUUACUGGGCGUAAAGAGUGUGUAGGCGGUGCUCUAAGUUCGGUGUGAAAUCUCCCGGCUCAACUGGGAGGGUGCGCCGGAAACUGGGGUGCUGGAGCGCGGGAGAGGAAAGCGGAAUUCCUGGUGUAGCGGUGAAAUGACGUAGAUAUCGCUUGGAACGCCGACGGUGAAAACAAGCUCGCUGGGGUGUGGCUGA